UACGUAGGGAGCAAGCGUUGUCCGGAAUCAUUGGGCGUAAAGCGCGUGUAGGCGGCUUGGUAAGUCUGCUCUGAAAGCCCGGGGCUCAACCCCGGGAGCGGGUGGAUACUGCUGAGCUCGAGUCCGGAAGGGAGCAGUGGAAUUCCUGGUGUAGCGGUGAAAUGCGCAGAUAUCAGGAGGAACACCAUAGUGAAGGCAGCU
rnacentral:rRNA from 1 species